GACGAACGCUGGCGGCGUGCUUAACACAUGCAAGUCGAACGGUGAAGCGCCUUCCUUUUUGGUGGGUGUGGAUGAGUGGCGAACGGGUGAGUAACACGUGAGUAACCUGCCCCCUUCUUCUGGAUAACCGCAUGAAAGUGUGGCUAAUACGGGAUAUUCUGGGUCUGUCGCAUGAUGGGUCUGGGAAAGAUAUUGUUUCGGUGGGGGAUGGGCUCGCGGCCUAUCAGCUUGUUGGUGGGGUGAUGGCCUACCAAGGCGGUGACGGGUAGCCGGCCUGAGAGGGUGGACGGUCACACUGGGACUGAGACACGGCCCAGACUCCUACGGGAGGCAGCAGUGGGGAAUAGUGCACAAUGGGCGCAAGCCUGAUGCAGCGACGCCGCGUGAGGGAUGGAGGCCGUCGGGUUGUGAACCUCUUUCGCCAGUGAAGCAGGCCUGCCUCGUUUGUGGGUGGGUUGACGGUAGCUGGAUAAGAAGCGCCGGCUAACUACGUG
rnacentral:rRNA from 1 species